rnacentral:tRNA from 1 species
CUAUAGCUCAGUUGGUAGAGCAGCUGUCUUGUAAACAGCAGGUCGCGGGUUCGAAUCCUGUUGGG